UACGGGGGGGGCAAGCGUUGUUCGGAAUUACUGGGCGUAAAGGGCUCGUAGGCGGCCAACUAAGUCAGACGUGAAAUCCCUCGGCUUAACCGGGGAACUGCGUCUGAUACUGGAUGGCUUGAGAUUGGGAGAGGGAUGCGGAACUCCAGGUGUAGCGGUGAAAUGCGUAGAUAUCUGGAGGAACACCGGUGGCGAAGGCGGCAUCCUGGACCAACACUGACGCUGAGUGAGCGAAAGCCAGGGGAGCAAACGGG
rnacentral:rRNA from 1 species